AUUGAACGCUGGCGGCAUGCUUUACACAUGCAAGUCGAACGGCAGCGCGGGCUUCGGCCUGGCGGCGAGUGGCGAACGGGUGAGUAAUACAUCGGAACGUGCCCAGUAGUGGGGGAUAGCUCGGCGAAAGCCGGAUUAAUACCGCAUACGACCUGAGGGUGAAAGCGGGGGAUCUUCGGACCUCGCGCUAUUGGAGCGGCCGAUGGCAGAUUAGCUAGUUGGUGGGGUAAAGGCCUACCAAGGCGACGAUCUGUAGCUGGUCUGAAAGGACGACCAGCCACACUGGGACUGAGACACGGCCCAGACUCCUACGGGAGGCAGCAGUGGGGAAUUUUGGACAAUGGGCGAAAGCCUGAUCCAGCAAUGCCGCGUGUGUGAUGAAGGCCUUCGGGUUGUAAAGCACUUUUGGCGGGAACGAAAAGGACUGUGCCAAUACCACGGUUCGAUGACGGUACCCGCAGAAUAAGCACCGGCUAACUACGUG
rnacentral:rRNA from 1 species